CCUACGUGAGGCAGCAGUGAGGAAUAUUGGUCAAUGGCCGUAAGGCUGAACCAGCCAAGUAGCGUGAGGGAAGACUGCCCUAUGGGUUGUAAACCUCUGUUAUGCGGGGAUAAAGGGGGCCACGUGUGGAUGUUUGCAGGUACCGCAUGAAUAAGGACCGGCUAAUUCCGUGCCAGCAGCCGCGGUAAUACGGAAGGUCCGGGCGUUAUCCGGAUUUAUUGGGUUUAAAGGGAGCGUAGGCCGGUCUUUAAGCGUGCCGGGAAAUUUUGUGGCUCAACCAUGAGAGUGCGGCGCGAACGGGAGCCCUUUCGUGCGCGGCAGGCAGGCGGAAUUCGUGGUGUAGCGGUGAUAUGCUUAGCUAUCACG
rnacentral:rRNA from 1 species